GACGAACGCUGGCGGCGUGCCUAAUACAUGCAAGUAGGACGCACAGUUUAUACCGUAGCUUGCUACACCAUAGACUGUGAGUUGCGAACGGGUGAGUAACGCGUAGGUAACCUGCCUAUUAGAGGGGGAUAACUAUUGGAAACGAUAGCUAAUACCGCAUAACAGUAUGUAACACAUGUUAGAUGCUUGAAAGAUGCAAUUGCAUCGCUAGUAGAUGGACCUGCGUUGUAUUAGCUAGUAGGUAGGGUAAUGGCCUACCUAGGCGACGAUACAUAGCCGACCUGAGAGGGUGAUCGGCCACACUGGGACUGAGACACGGCCCAGACUCCUACGGGAGGCAGCAGUAGGGAAUCUUCGGCAAUGGGGGGAACCCUGACCGAGCAACGCCGCGUGAGUGAAGAAGGUUUUCGGAUCGUAAAGCUCUGUUGUUAAGGAAGAACG
rnacentral:rRNA from 1 species